rnacentral:misc_RNA from 1 species
GAUGAAGAACGUAGCGAAAUGCGAUAAGUAAUGCGAAUUGCAGAAUUCCGUGAGUCAUCGAAUCUUUGAACGCACAUUGCGCCCCCUGGUAUUCCGGGGGGCAUGCCUGUCCGAGCGUCAUUGCAACCUUCAAGCGCGGCUUGUGUGUUGGGUCUCGUCCCCCGUGGACGGGCCCGAAAGGCAGUGGCGGCGUCCCGACAUGGUGCCCGAGCGUAUGGGAAUCCUCUUCCGCUCGAAUCGGCCCAUGCGGCGCUGGUCGUAACCAAAUUUUUUACCGGUUGACCUCGGAUCAGGUAGGGAUACCCGCUGAACUUAAGCAUAUCAAUAAGCGGAGGA